CCGCGGCAUUUAUCACGGCGUGACGCGCACGUGAGUUCAUUUAUAUCAUGUCGUUGAAAUAAUUACAAAAGCUUUUUGAGUGUAACGAUAGAGUAUUUAAUAUCUGCAUACAUACAAACAAACGUUAAUGUUUAUAGUCACUGAUGGGUGUCACAUUGGCAGCGAGUAUAUUUGGGAACCACCAUCCAAGAGUGACUCAUCCCAUGAGUAAUGAGAACAAAAAAAAAUAGACAACAUGAACAGCCGCUAUCACCAUGACCAG